UCCACGCCAUAAACGAUGUCAACUGGUUGUUGGACGGCUUGCUGUUCAGUAACGAAGCUAACGCGUGAAGUUGACCGCCUGGGGAGUACGGCCGCAAGGUUGAAGCUCAAAGGAAUUGACGGGGACCCGCACAAGCGGUGGAUGAUGUGGUUUAAUUCGAUGCAACGCGAAAAACCUUACCUACUCUUGACAUGUCAAGAAUCUUGCAGAGAUGUGAGAGUGCUCGAAAGAGAACUUGAACACAGGUGCUGCAUGGCCGUCGUCAGCUCGUGUCGUGAGAUGUUGGGUUAAGUCCCGCAACGAGCGCAACCCUUGUCAUUAGUUGCUACGAAAGGGCACUCUAAUGAGACUGCCGGUGACAAACCGGAGGAAGGUGGGGAUGACGUCAGGUCCUCAUGGCCCUUGUGGGUAGGGCUACACACGUCAUACAAUGGCCGGUACAGAGGGUUGCCAACCCGCGAGGGGGAGCCAAUCCCAGAAAACCGGUCGUAGUCCGGAUCGCAGUCUGCAACUCGACUGCGUGGAGUCGGAAUCGCUAGUAAUCGCGGAUCAGCUUGCCGCGGUGAAUACGUUCCCGGGUCUUGUACACACCGCCCGUCACACCAUGGGAGCGGGUUCUGCCAGAAGUAGUUAGCCUAACCGCAAGGAGGGCGAUACCACGGCA
rnacentral:rRNA from 1 species